rnacentral:rRNA from 1 species
AGAGUUUGAUCCUGGCUCAGGAUGAACGCUAGCUACAGGCUUAACACAUGCAAGUCGAGGGGAAACGACAUCGAAAGCUUGCUUUUGAUGGGCGUCGACCGGCGCACGGGUGGGUAACGCGUAUCCAACCUGCCCACCACUUGGGGAUAACCUUGCGAAAGUAAGACUAAUACCCAAUGACGUCUCUAGAAGACAUCUGAAAGAGAUUAAAGAUUUAUCGGUGAUGGAUGGGGAUGCGUCUGAUUAGCUUGUUGGCGGGGUAACGGCCACAAGGCGACGAUCAGUAGGGGUUCUGAGAGGAAGGUCCCCCANAUUGGAACUGAGACACGGUCCAAACUCCGUACGGGAGGCA